UAUUGGCAAAAUUCGAUACACUAUUCCCAAAAAAUGACUUGCCAUUUCUUUAAUAAAGGUAAGUUGGGGUGAAAUGAGAAGCAAUUUCACCGGUCUAAAAUCCUAAAUCGAAAAAUUUCAAAUCAUCGGCUCUUCUUCUUCUUCUUCUUCAGUCGACACAAGUCUGGAGAGUCGACGCAGAGCCAUGGAUCAAUCGUUCCUCCUGAUGCUCUCCAACCUCCUCCACCUCCACAACUCCAUCGACCCAACCACCUCCCUCAUCUCCUCCCCCACCUCCACCACCACCGCCUCCUCCGCCUCCACCUCCACCUCCCCCACCUCCCUCCUCACCUCCUCCUCCGCCGCCCCUCUCCUCUUCUUCACCAUCGCCUCCGUCCUCUCCUACAUCGCCUCCUCCCGCCCUUCCUCCUCCUCCCCCUCCACCCCCGCCGCCUCCUCCUCCGCCGCCGCCGCCGCCUCCGACUACUCCGUCUCCGCCUUCCGCGCCCUCUCCACCGAGCACAUCUGGUCCCUCGAAGCCCCUCUCCGCGACGCCCAGUGGCGCUCCCUCUACGGCCUGUCGUAUCCCGUCUUCACGACCGUCGUCGAUAAGCUCAAACCCCACAUUGCUCUCUCCAACCUCUCCCUCCCUUCCGACUACGCCGUCGCCAUGGUCCUCUCCCGCCUCGCCCACGGCUUCUCCGCCAAGUCCCUCGCCGCCCGCUACUCCCUCGAGCCCUACCUCAUCUCCAAAAUCACCAACAUGGUCACGCGCCUACUCGCCACCAAGCUCUACCCGGAGUUCAUCAAGAUCCCCGUCAGCCGCCGCAGACUGAUCGAAACCACCCAGGCCUUCGAGGAGCUGACGUCACUCCCCAACAUGUGUGGCGCCAUUGAUGGCAGUCCGAUCAGGCUGCACAAGCAGAAUCUGCCCGGGAAUUACAAGUGCAGGUACGGCUACAAUGCUGUUCAGCUGGAGGUUGUUGCUGACCACAAGAAGAUCUUCUGGGAUGUUUGCGUUAAAGCGCCGGGAGGCACCGAAGACGCCACCCAUUUUCGAGAGAGUUUGUUGUAUAACAGGCUUACUUCCGGUGACAUUGUGUGGGAUAAGGUCAUCAAUGUGCGUGGUCACCCUGUGAGGCCUUACAUUGUCGGGGACUGGUGCUAUCCUUUGCUCAGUUUCUUGUUGACUCCGUUUUCGCCUAAUGGGAUGGGGACUCCUGCACAGAACCUGUUCGAUGGAAUGCUCAUGAAGGGGAGGUCUGUGGUGGUUGAGGCAAUUGGGCUGCUCAAAGGGAGGUGGAAGAUUCUGCAGGACCUGAAUGUGGGUCUUAAUCAUGUGCCGCAGACCAUUGUUGCUUGCUGUGUGCUGCACAAUUUGUGCCAGAUUGCGAGGGAGCCUGAACCGGAGCUGUGGAAGGACCCUGAGGAGAAUGGGAUGCCUCCUAGGGUGCAUGACAGUGAGAAGUCGUUGUACUACUUUGGGGAAAGCUUGAGGCAAGCAUUGGCUGAUGAUUUGCACCAGAGGCUUUCAUCGAGAUAGGAUAUUUUGUCCUCAGUAAAGGGAUGCUUGUCCUCAACGGUUUAACCUAUGGGUACGAAGAUGCUGCUGGUUUUAGAGAGAAGUCUUUUCACAACAGGCUUUACUUCUAGUGACCUUGUUCAUGGGGACUGGUUGACCCAAAGGGAUGGGAACUCCUGCAUAGAGCCUGUCUGAUGAAAUGCUGGUUCAAUCAAAUGCGGUUUAUUAUAAAUUGAUGAUGGGGGCUUGUUUUUCAUUUCCCAGGGAAAAGUUUAGUCCAUAUCACAACAGGAAACUUCAAGCUCCUAUAUAUGGGGGCUUGUUUUUCAUUUCCCAAUGAAAAGUUUAGUCCAUAUCACAACAGGAAACUUCAAAUCAAAAUGUAUUUAUCAACUCCUUGUUAAUAACAUAUUAUAGUUUGAACUUACUUGUUGUGAUACGGAUUAAGACUUCGAGGAAUGCCUGGGUUAGUUUGAAGAGACUGAGAAAACUGGAUCUCCUUUUUCGAUGAAGAAAUUUUUUCCUAUUAUGUUUUGAAAAGAUUACUCCUAAUCUUGUUAAAAUUGCUCUUAUAUUUUUUAGAAAGAA